GACGAACGCUGGCGGCGUGCCUAAUACAUGCAAGUAGAACGCUGAAGGAGGAGCUUGCUUCUCUGGAUGAGUUGCGAACGGGUGAGUAACGCGUAGGUAACCUGCCUGGUAGCGGGGGAUAACUAUUGGAAACGAUAGCUAAUACCGCAUAAGAGUAGAUGUUGCAUGACAUUUGCUUAAAAGGUGCAAUUUCAUCACUACCAGAUGGACCUGCGUUGUAUUAGCUAGUUGGUGGGGUAACGGCUCACCAAGGCGACGAUACAUAGCCGACCUGAGAGGGUGAUCGGCCACACUGGGACUGAGACACGGCCCAGACUCCUACGGGAGGCAGCAGUAGGGAAUCUUCGGCAAUAGACGGAAGUCUGACCGAGCAACGCCGCGUAAGUGAAGAAGGGUUUCGGAUCGUAAAGCUCUGUUGUAAGAGAAGAACGAGUGUGAGAGUGGAAAGUUCACACUGUGACGGUAUCUUACCAGAAAGGGACGGCUAACUACGUG
rnacentral:rRNA from 1 species